ACAAAAGAUUUUUCAAGGCAUUCUGUCAUUUUAAAUAAAAAUAGCUAGGUAGUUAUUGAGACCUCGGUUAAGUAAAGCUAGCCGUACCUAACAGCCGCACCUUAGCCGUACCUUAGCCGUACUUAAGAAAAUUCGUAAUUAGCAGCUCUGUGUGAAUAUCUAUGCCGAUAAAAAUGAUGCAAAAUGGAGCACUCCAUCGUCGAGCCCCAGUAACCCCCAGGGAAUC